rnacentral:rRNA from 1 species
AGAGUUUGAUCCUGGCUCAGGACAAACGCUGGCGGCGUGCCUAAUACAUGCAAGUAGAACGCUGAAGGAGGAGCUUGCUUCUCUGGAUGAGUUGCGAACGGGUGAGUAACGCGUAGGUAACCUGCCUGGUAGCGGGGGAUAACUAUUGGAAACGAUAGCUAAUACCGCAUAACAGUAGAUAUCGCAUGAUAGCUGCUUGAAAGGUGCAAUUGCACCACUACCAGAUGGACCUGCGUUGUAUUAGCUAGUUGGUGGGGUAACGGCUCACCAAGGCAACGAUACAUAGCCGACCUGAGAGGGUGAUCGGCCACACUGGGACUGAGACACGGCCCAGACUCCUACGGGAGGCAGCAGUAGGGAAUCUUCGGCAAUGGACGGAAGUCUGACCGAGCAACGCCGCGUGAGUGAAGAAGGUUUUCGGAUCGUAAAGCUCUGUUGUAAGAGAAGAACGAGUGUGAGAGUGGAAAGUUCACACUGUGACGGUAUCUUACCAGAAAGGGACGGCUAACUACGUGCCAGCAGCCGUGGUAAUACGUAGGUCCCGAGCGUUGUCCGGAUUUAUUGGGCGUAAAGCGAGCGCAGGCGGUUAGAUAAGUCUGAAGUUAAAGGCUGUGGCUUAACCAUAGUACGCUUUGGAAACUGUUUAACUUGAGUGCAAGAGGGGAGAGUGGAAUUCCAUGUGUAGCGGUGAAAUGCGUAGAUAUAUGGAGGAACACCGGUGGCGAAAGCGGCUCUCUGGCUUGUAACUGACGCUGAGGCUCGAAAGCGUGGGGAGCAAACGGGAUUAGAUACCCUGGUAGUCCACGCCGUAAACG